rnacentral:rRNA from 1 species
CAGCAGCCGCGGUAAUACGUAGGGUGCGAGCGUUAAUCGGAAUUACUGGGCGUAAAGCGUGUGCAGGCGGUGAUGUAAGACAGUUGUGAAAUCCCCGGGCUCGACCUGGGAACUGCAUCUGUGACUGCAUCGCUGGAGUGCGGCAGAGGGGGAUGGAAUUCCGCGUGUAGCAGUGAAAUGCGUAGAUAUGCGGAGGAACACCGAUGGCGAAGGCAAUCCCCUGGGCCUGCACUGACGCUCAUGCACGAAAGCGUGGGGAGCAAACAGGAUUAGAUACCCGUGUAGUCCCUGUCUCUUAUAC